rnacentral:rRNA from 1 species
AACAAACGCUGGCGGCGUGCAUAACACAUGCAAGUCUGACGGGAAAGCGGGCUUCGGCCUGCAAGUACCGUGGCGAACGGGUGAGUAACACGUGGGUAAUCUAACCUCGAGUUUGGGAUAACCUUGCGAAAGCGGGGCUAAUACCGAAUAAGACCACGCUCUGCCCGCAGAGUGGGGUAAAAGGCGGCCUCUUCAUGAAAGCUGUCCCUUGAGGAUGGGCCCGCGGCCUAUUAGCUAGUUGGUGGGGUAAUGGCCUACCAAGGCGACGAUGGGUAGCCGGCCUGAGAGGGUGUACGGCCACACUGGCACUGAGACACGGGCCAGACUCCUACGGGAGGCAGCAGUGGGGAGUUUUGGACAAUGGGCGCAAGCCUGAUCCAGCAAUGCCGCGUGCAGGAAGAAGGCCUUCGGGUUGUAAACUGCUUUUGUACGGAACGAAACGGUCCUGGUUAAUACCCGGGGCUAAUGACGGUACCGUAAGAAUAAGCACCGGCUAACUACGUGCCAGCCGCCGCAGUAAUAC